rnacentral:misc_RNA from 1 species
AAGUCGUAACAAGGUUUCCGUAGGUGAACCUGCGGAAGGAUCAUUACCACAUUAAAUCGGGGGCUCCGGCCCUGUCUGAACCCUUGUCUUUGCGUACUUAUUGUUUCCUCGGCGGCUUAAACCCCGCCGCAGCAGGACACUAUACAACCCUUUGUAAUUGCAAUCAGCGUCAGAAAAAAGCAUAAUAAUUACAA